rnacentral:pre_miRNA from 1 species
GUGUGAGCAUGGGGGAAGCAUGGGUGAGCAUGGGAGUAGCAUGGGGUUCCACCAUCUCGUGUCCCCCCAUCCUACGU